AACGAACGUUGGCGGCGUGCCUAACACAUGCAAGUCGAGCGCGGGAGACUUCGGUCAAACGAGCGGCGCACGGGUGAGGAACACGUGAGUAAUCUGCCCUAGAGUCCGGGAUAACCGUCCGAAAGGAUGGCUAAUACUGGAUAAGCUCACGGAGGCGUAGGCCUCUGGGAGAAAAGCUCCGGCGCUUUAGGAUGAGCUCGCGUCCCAUUAGGUAGUUGGUGAGGUAAUGGCUCACCAAGCCUUCGAUGGGUAACUGGUCUGAGAGGAUGAUCAGUCACACUGGAACUGAGACACGGUCCAGACUCCUACGGGAGGCAGCAGUGGGGAAUAUUGCGCAAUGGAGGAAACUCUGACGCAGCAACGCCGCGUGGGUGAUGAAGGCCUU
rnacentral:rRNA from 1 species